AUGUCUCGGUCGAGAGCACUCGUUCGGGCGUCGUUGGUCCUGCGGGUCGUGGUACUUGGCGGUCUUGACGAAUCCAAGGGUACUUGGCAGUUCAAAAUUGCUCCUGUCCGGGGACGUUCAGUGGAGGCAGGGUCGCAGGUGGUCGGGGCUCGGGCUCCUGGCGUCGGAGAUGAGCGGGAGGAGGAGCGGUGGAGGUGCGGAUGCUUGCUGGCAGCGAGAAGGUCCUGCGACGGUGGAGGCGUGCAGGCGGGAACAGAGGACGGGCAGACGCGGACGAGUUCCUGCUGGUCGCAGCGGCGGCGAGGACAACCUGCUGGUGGUGCUCACUGGCGAGAGGAUGGCGAGGGAGGAGCAAGGCGGCGGCAACUCGGAGCUCAGGGACGAGGCGCCGAGGACGAGGCAUGGAGGUCGAAGUCGCUGGCGGAGUUGCGAGGUGGCGCUCGGUGUCCCUGGUGA
rnacentral:rRNA from 1 species